rnacentral:rRNA from 1 species
UCCCAGACUCCUACGGGAGGCAGCAGUGGGGAAUAUUGCACAAUGGGGGAAACCCUGAUGCAGCGACGCCGCGUGAGUGAAGAAGUAUUUCGGUAUGUAAAGCUCUAUCAGCAGGGAAGAAAAUGACGGUACCUGAUUAAGAAGCCCCGGCUAACUACGUGCCAGCAGCCGCGGUAAUACGUAGGGGGCAAGCGUUAUCCGGAUUUACUGGGUGUAAAGGGAGCGUAGACGGCAGCGCAAGUCUGAAGUGAAAUACCCGGGCUCAACCUGGGAACUGCUUUGGAAACUGUAUGGCUAGAGUGCUGGAGAGGUAAGCGGAAUUCCUAGUGUAGCGGUGAAAUGCGUAGAUAUUAGGAGGAACACCAGUGGUGAAGGCGGCUUACUGGACUGUAACUGACGUUGAGGCUCGAAAGCGUGGGGAGCAAACAGGAUUAGAUACCCCCGUAAG